rnacentral:lncRNA from 1 species
CAUGCGCCAAUUGUUUGGAAGUCCUCAAUAGCAGUAAAAAUUUAGUGGUGCGCUUUACUCUUGAGAAAGCAGCACAAAUGAACCAUAAAACUCCACCAUAUUUAAUGAUUUUAAAAUCAGGAUCAUUAUAGUACUACAACAUAGGUCAUACAAAUAUGCGUUUUGCUUGAUUAAUUAGAAAUAGAGAACAACAUAAUAGAACAGCAUGAACCCACCACCGGACACCAGUUUUAUAAAUUUUUUUUUUAAUGUAUUGCCUUACGAUAACUCGAUUCCUUGUAGACUCAUAUGUGAACAGAUGUGAACCUCAAACAUAUAAUCUUACUUCAACAAGUUUUACCGUAAAAUUAGCUAGCACCAUUUGUAAUGUUGUUGAUAGGCUUUGAUAGUUUAAAAAAAAUAUUGAGUAAAAACUAGCUAGAUUAAUAAACUACUUAGCCACUCGGCAUACUGCAUAUUUGAUUCCAUCCAUAAAUCGAUUUUCUUCCCUAUGAGUUCGAGUCUCAAUAAGAAUGUUAGUUCUUACUGUUCAUAUGUUAUGAUAUGAAUAUACCACACCAAUUCAUUAUGUAUAGAUGAUGAGAUUCCAUUGAUACAGAGCCAAUUCAAAUCCAAGUUGGAGAGCAGCAGUUCGAACCCCCACAAUGCAUGUGGGGGUGUUUCCUUCCUCAAAUAAAAUUGAGUGAAGGCAGUCUGUUUUCUUGUCCCAGUACGAGGAGUAGACAUCCCUCGAAUAUUUGAGAGGGUUAAAAUCUGGGCAGCGCUCCAUUAGAUUUGAUGUAUGUUGGUCCCAAUUAUAGUCUGAUUUGUACAUAUCUGUUAUAUUCUCAUGUAAUAUGAGUUGUAAUCUGAGUCUCAUGUAAUCAAAAAUAAAAAAUAAAAAAUAAACUUCUUUGCCCUUAUUUUACCUUAUUGAUACAAUAAUAUUAGAAAUUCUAACAUUUAAGUCUCAGUUUUGAGUCCUAUUAUUAUGUGUCAUUCAUUUAUUAAAUGAUUUAUUUCAUAACUCAUGAACUUACUAAAACACCGUUCAAUAAAUGAAUACCACAUCACUUAAAAUUCAAAUUGAGACUGAUAUGUUAGAAUGUCUAGCACAAAGUAAUUAAUGGAGAACAAAUUGUAACUCUCUUUCUUCUAUGGUUUUGCGAAAUUUUUUAUUAUUUUACAUUUUUAUGGCUUUCAAUCUCUUUAUUUACCUUUGUGCGUCUGAUUUUCCUCUACUUCCCUUAUCUUAACCUUGACUAAAGUAAUAACGAGAAUAUAUAUAUAUACGUACGCAAUGGAUCCGUGAUCCCUUGCACAAAUUUUUACUUUUAGAUACGGAUGUAUAUAUAUAAAGAGUCAAUUUGUGUAAAACUUAGCUGAUUGUGCAAAUUAUUAGUUGUUGGGAUUUUAAACAAACGACAAGCAAUUUACUAUUUAUCUGCAAUAAUUAGGCUUGGAAAAAGUAGUAGUUAGUUAAUGGUAUUAUGAUAAUGUUUUGAUUUUAACCAACAAUUCACAUAAUUAGUAGUCAGUUAUGAUAAUGUUU